rnacentral:rRNA from 1 species
GGCGCGCUCUGCGCGCACCGGCGGACGGCUCAGUAACACGUCGGUAACCUACCCUCGGGAGGGGGAUAACCCCGGGAAACUGGGGCUAAUCCCCCAUAGGCCUGAGGUACUGGAAGGUCCUCAGGCCGAAAGGGGCUUCGGCCCGCCCGAGGAUGGGCCGGCGGCCGAUUAGGUAGUUGGUGGGGUAACGGCCCACCAAGCCGAAGAUCGGUACGGGCCAUGAGAGUGGGAGCCCGGAGAUGGACACUGAGACACGGGUCCAGGCCCUACGGGGCGCAGCAGGCGCGAAACCUCCGCAAUGCGGGAAACCGCGACGGGGGGACCCCCAGUGCCGUGGCAUCGCCACGGCUUUUCCGGAGUGUAAAAAGCUCCGGGAAUAAGGGCUGGGCAAGGCCGGUGGCAGCCGCCGCGGUAAUACCGGCGGCCCGAGUGGUGGCCGCUAUUAUUGGGCCUAAAGC